rnacentral:rRNA from 1 species
UACGUAGGUGGCAAGCGUUGUCCGGAAUUAUUGGGCGUAAAGCGCGCGCAGGCGGCUCCUUAAGUCUGAUGUGAAAGCCCACGGCUCAACCGUGGAGGGUCAUUGGAAACUGGGGAACUUGAGUGCAGGAGAGAAGAGUGGAAUUCCACGUGUAGCGGUGAAAUGCGUAGAGAUGUGGAGGAACACCAGUGGCGAAGGCGACUCUUUGGCCUGUAACUGACGCUGAGGCGCGAAAGCGUGGGGAGCAAACAGG